AGGCAACAUCCUCUGUACGCAGAACCAAGUUGAUGCCCCGGCUUUCAGCGAGAAUGAAUUGCCUCAGAACAGCGAUUUUGAUGGUUCUCUUGUGCGACUGUAUUGCAAAUUGCACUGGCAACUUAAUAGUAGGACAUAUUGUGACAACUACUUUAUCAGCCAUCGUACACCAAGGCAAAUGCCAUGUUAGCGCUUACUACAUAAUCGAUGAUGGAUACACUCUCAACCUAACGAGUCCUUGCAUGUCAUUCAAAUGUAAUGCUUCCACAAGGACUCUGACAAUGGAAUACUGUGUCCCUCCAAGCAAGAUCGGAAAUCCUUGCCCCAUGGUCAAUACCACCGGAAAUCCUGAUUUUCCGUGGUGCUGCCCUGCUUUCAGAUGUUGAAGAGAGCGAAUAGGCGAGCCGCAA
rnacentral:lncRNA from 1 species